rfam:Arthrobacter gangotriensis Lz1y contig000010, whole genome shotgun sequence.
UGCGGUCCUCGGUAGUGGCUUUCGCUCUUCAAUGCGAAGAGCGCGAGUCUCGAUCGAAGACCAAG